rnacentral:rRNA from 1 species
GCACGGGGUACUCGACACGUUUACUUUGAAAAAAUUAGAGUGCUCAAAGCAGGCCUGUGCUUGAAUACAUGUUGCAUGGAAUAAUGGAAUAGGACUUCGGUUCUAUUUUGUUGGUUUUCGGAAUCGAAGUAAUGAUUAAAAGAGACAGUCGGGGGCGUCUGUAUGGUGGUGUUAGAGGUGAAAUUCGAUUAUCGCCACCAGACAAGCAACUGCGAAAGCAUUCGCCAAGGAUGUUUUCAUUAAUCAAGAACGAAAGUCAGAGGUUCGAAGACGAUCAGAUACCGUCCUAGUUCUGACCAUAAACGAUGCCAACUGACAAUCGAGGUUUUUUAUUUUUUUGAACCUCGGCAGUCCCUGGGAAACCUUUAAGUCUAUCGGUUCUGGGGGGAGUAUGGUUGCAAAUCCGAAACUUAAAGGAAUUGACGGAAGGGCACCACCAGGUGUGGAGCCUGCGGCUUAAUUUGACUCAACACGGGAAAACUCACCCGGCCCGGACACUGUGAGGAUUGACAGAUUGAUAGCUCUUUCAUGAUUCAGUGGGUGGUGGUGCAUGGCCGUUCUUAGUUGGUGGAGUGAUUUGUCUGGUUAAUUCCGAUAACGAACGAGACUCUAGCCUGCUAAAUAGUCAUCACGUAACAAUUGCGUGACAUGACUUCUUAGAGGGAUUCGCCACUUUUAGUGGCACGAAAAUGAGCAAUAACAGGUCUGUGAUGCCCUUAGAUGUUCGGGGCCGCACGUGCGCUACACUGACGAUGCCAAUGAGUAUCUUCCUAAGCCGAGAGGUUUGGGAAAUCUUCUGAAUUAUCGUCAUGUCAGGGAUUGGGGCUUGUAACUUUUCCCCAUGAACGAGGAAUACCCAGUAAGCGCAAGUCAUAAGCUUGCGUUGAUUACGUCCCUGCCCUUUGUACACACCGCCCGUCGCUACUACCGAUUGAAUGGUUUAGUGAGGCCUUUGGAUUGGUUCCAAUGGGGUGGUUCGCCAUUCCGUUGGUACUGAGAAAAUCGUCAAACUG